rnacentral:rRNA from 1 species
UACUCCUACGGGAGGCAGCAGUGGGGAAUUUUGGACAAUGGGGGAAACCCUGAUCCAGCCAUCCCGCGUGUGCGAUGAAGGCCUUCGGGUUGUAAAGCACUUUUGGCAGGAAAGAAACGUCGCGGGUUAAUACCCCGCGAAACUGACGGUACCUGCAGAAUAAGCACCGGCUAACUACGUGCCAGCAGCCGCGGUAAUACGUAGGGUGCAAGCGUUAAUCGGAAUUACUGGGCGUAAAGCGUGCGCAGGCGGUUCGGAAAGAAAGAUGUGAAAUCCCAGAGCUUAACUUUGGAACUGCAUUUUUAACUACCGGGCUAGAGUGUGUCAGAGGGAGGUGGAAUUCCGCGUGUAGCAGUGAAAUGCGUAGAUAUGCGGAGGAACACCGAUGGCGAAGGCAGCCUCCUGGGAUAACACUGACGCUCAUGCACGAAAGCGUGGGGAGCAAACAGGAUUAGAUACCCUGGUAGUCCACGCCCUAAACGAUGUCAACUAGCUGUUGGGGCCUUCGGGCCUUGGUAGCGCAGCUAACGCGUGAAGUUGACCGCCUGGGGAGUACGGUCGCAAGAUUAAAACUCAAAUGAAUUGACGG